CUUUAUUUAAAGUAUAAUCUUCAUGUUACUUUAAGUGUUCCAUAUUUCUUUUAUCAUACAAAAUGACAUAGAAACAAAUGAACCAUGGUGAUCGGACAUAAAAUUUACAUCAGACUCUUCAGACUUGAGCAGAUAAGGCUCUUGAGGGGGACUCUAAGCAGGGUGAUUAUGGGAGGAUAAGAAUUGAUGAAGACUAGGAAAAUAAACGAGGGUGAGGUCAUGAAAGGCAGCUAGCACUUUAAGUCAUAUUGUUAGGUUUGGGCUUUAUCCUAUAGAAAAUGAAGAAC
rnacentral:lncRNA from 1 species